rnacentral:lncRNA from 1 species
UAUAUACUCUUUAUGCUCAACCCUUCAAUCAAGAUCAUGUCGACCUCGUAAGUCAAUGUUAUGUAUUUUAAUGCUAGUAUCACAUGACUUCAAUAUAUGCUGACUCAUACCAAAUUGGCAUAAAACUCGAUUUGGCCUGUCACUCAACAAUAUGGAAACAAAUAAGUGAUGAUGCAGUACGCUAAAUGUCAUCACCAAUAGUACAAUAGUCUGUCCAUGUAGACAUGAUAUCAAACGUGUAAGGCUGCCAUAUAAUGUGACUUGGCCUUUGUAUUUCAAAGGUAAAUCUAUAUUGGCCAAGGACAAACAUAGAUACCUCUAUGACAGAGAAAACAUCUCUUCACCUAAGAUUAAGUAGUAACAUGUUAGUUGAGAUCAAAUGUAAGUAAAGUUCUUAAUGAAUUUUUUAUACAAAAAAAAAAAUAUCAAUUGUUGUAUAUAUCGUGCGCCCAAUGGAAGUGGUGGGAAUGGAAGACCAUCAUCACCAAUUAUAUCAUGUGGAAAUACCUCUAAUUUCUUAUGGACAAUACAUGGAAAUCUCUCCCAUGCCCAUAGUUGCAAUAAUAUAGGUGGGCCAAUUAUAUCACACGUUUGAACUUGGGAUGCUUGACACAUCUCCCUAUAAAGCCAAGCUAAGCAAGCACUAUCCCAACUAUACCCACCAAGAACCCUAAAAUCUGAUAAAAAUUGAAGAAACAUGAGAUGCACAAAGCAACUAGACUUGUAUACAAAUAAACAUCCUCCUAUAAGUUGUAAGAUAUAUGCUUUGGCAUAAUACUAAAUAGCAAUAUCAUCAGCUUCAAAGGGUAGAGUGGGAAAUUUUUUUGUUAAUCAUGUUAUAUUAAGUUGUGAUCCAUCUAUGUCAUCCUCUUCAAGUGUGUGUCCUAACAAAGACUCGCAUAACUCAAGCCAAUAUUGUGACUUCAAACGAAUAAGAGGAAGUCUAUCAACUGGUAGUCCAAGUAUAAUGAUGACAUAUUAUGGAGUAAUCGUCAUCUCUCCAUGUGGCAUGUGGAAUGCAUGGGUCUCAAGGCUCUAUAUUUCAAUUAAGAUAAUGACCAAGUGCUAGUCCAAUGUAACAAAUCCAAGUCAUGCUAUACCAUAGAAGCCCAUUUGCUGCAAAUAUGGAAUAAUUUGUCGAUCUAGGGACAUUGUAUGAUGGAAUAUAGCCUCAUGUUGUCUACAAUGAAGAAUUUGUGUCCUAGCUACCUUUGUAUCCUAUAAAAUGCACGAUUGAUGUACAUGUUGUGAAGAUAACACUAAUGAGUCAUAAGAUUGGGGAUCCAUGAGACUUACAAAACAAGGUUUCUUAUUAUAUGUUUUUUUAUAUUUUAAAAGUUCAUACAUAUGAAGAGCUCAUACAUCAUUAAGUAAGAGUUCAUAUAUUACCAAAAGUUCAUACAUCACCAAAGUUCAUACAUCGAUUAAAGUCAAUACAUUAUGAAAAGUUCAUACAUCAAUAAGAGUUACAUUGGUAAAAGUUCAUACAUUACCAAAAGUUCAUGCAUCACCAAAAGUUCAUACAUCAUUACAUAUUUCAAAAUUUUUUAGGACCUUGUGCCGAUUAUGACUCUCUUACUUGCAUGCACCACACCUAACCUUUACACUAGGUUUUCUCCAAUCCAUCUCAUUUUGUAUGCAUGAUGAUCUAGGUCGCCCGUGUUCUCGUAACAUUGCUUGAUCGAGAUGCAAAAUUGGGAAAUCUGGUUUAGGUUUAUAGUCUUCAUGUGGUAUUGGACUAAAUUUUGGGGCAUAACAAGCUGCAUAUUUUUCUAUCCUAUAAUAAGAAUCCACAAAUUGCCAAUUGUUUAACAUUGCAUACACACAAAUAGUUAGGACAUAGGAACAAGACAACCCAAAUGAUUGCCAUUUGUUACAAGUAUAAGUACCUUCCUUAAGCUUUAUGAUUUGCUUCUUAUUGUCCUUAUCCAUAUGGAACCCAUGAACAUUAGUGGUUACGUCAAAUACCUCAUUUGCUUGAUGAAAUAUUGUAAUACUAUGUCCACUUGCCUUAACUUCCCAAAUAAUGAUUUUAUUCUUCACAUAAGAAGUAUACAUUUCAUAUUUUUUGCGUUUAGAUUGUUUUUUUGCUCUAUGCCUUCCAAUAUAGGCAACAGACAUAUAGAAAGUUAGUUGCACCAAUGCAGUAAUAGUUAACAUACAAGCUCCCUUAAACACCCCAUUAAUGCUCUCUGCAAUAUUUGUUGUCAUACAACCAUACUAAAAUCCUUCAUCAUAUGCUUGUGUCCAUCCUUUUAUCUACUUUAUCAAAGAAAUGCACUAGUCAUUCAACUUCUAUAGUUUCUCCAUGCACAAUUGAAACUUGCGAGGUUGAUGUUGGGAUCCAACCUUGUACGCUAAUUCUUUCAAGACUUUGGUUCUAUACUUCUCAUUGAAAUUGCUUGCCACAUGUUUUAGACAAUAUCUAUGAUAAGCACGAGGUGGAGUCCAUCCAACUUUAACAUUCUAUACUAUUGUCAUGAUUCCUGCAUGACAAUAAAAAAUUAAAGAUAUCUCAUCUCUUUGAGUAACAUGAAACCUUAAUGCAAAAAGGAACCAAGACCAACUGUUUGUUGUUUCCUCCUCAACAAGUGCAAAGGUAAAAUGGAAGAGAUGUCUAUUGGUCAUCAAUUUGAAUGAUUGACCUACAAUGCUUGAAUCCUUAUAUAGGAGCUCUAAAUGCCCAAAACAAUCUUUUAAAUCUUACAUUGCCAUUAAAGUUUCCUAAGGGAGUUGUUUUCCAAACAACUUUUGUACCAUGAUUAGUUGCUUGAAGAACAUUCAUCCACUUGGGUAAAAGGUAGUAAGAUGUAUCCCAAUCACCAAACACUACCAUAAGUCUUUUUCUUUUUGCUUCCCAAACUCUUCUAUUGUGAACUUCAUAUCCAUAUUUAUCUUUUAUUAUAUGAUGCAAUGUUGGUGUUGACAUAGAUGGAUCAUUCCUUACAACAUUUUGGAUCUCUCUAGCAAUUAAGAUGGACCCCAAUUGAGAGUGGUCGUAGGAGAGUUUAGGAUAUACACAAGGGUGAAAACUUGUGUACUAUGUUAUCUGAAACAAGUGGUGAGUUUUACAUCGAGAAGCAUGAAGUUCCCACUUAUAACCUUCAUCCCACCUCUCGCAUUUUAUCGACAAUAAAUGUGACUUUGAUUUAACUACAACCACAUCCUAAUUGUUGUAUAUGCAAUAUCUUUUAACAACAUACUGUAAGUCUUUCUUAUUCUCAAACUAUAAGCCUUUGUACAAUAUAUCAUGGUCUUUCCACAUUCCACUACGUGACUCUAAGUUCUUCAAAGGCAUGACAUUUAUCACAUCCUAAUUCAACUCACUCAACAUCAAGGAAGGGAUGACAUAUUCAUGAUCAAGGUGUGUAGACUCAUUUCCUAGAUACUCCAAUUUCUCAACACCUAUCUUCAACAUCAUGGUUUCCAAGGGCCUCAUAAACAUACCAUUCACUCAUGACCAUAUCAUGCACCGCAUUGGAAUCUAUAUUCAUUAGAGGAUCAUCAUCAUCUUUACUCAUUUCAAGUGCAUCAUCAACAUCUACCAUCUUUUGUGAUGGGAUAGGUGGUACAUCAAUUGACAAUUCAAUGGUGCAUUCAACAUUCUCCGUUUGUACUGAUAGGAUUUCUACAUACAACUCAAUAGUAGGAGGUGAAAGGAACUUUGUUGCUAUACUGAACUUAAACUCACAUCAUCAUUGUCAUUUAUGGAUAAUGCUACAAAGUUGAAAUUACCAUGUCCAAGAUUAAUUGAAUAAUGAUAAACCAACUUCAACUUCACUUGAGAUGAGCCUUUGCAUAAUGCAUCACAUAAACAUGUAACUAAGUCAUAGAAUGUUGUGUUGCUUUUUACUAACACAACCUUUGAUAGGGAAGAAUUGUAGCAAAUCCCGUUAAGUACAUUGAUCAUAUUACUAUUAAUGUAAUAGAACACCGUGAUUGAAUUGUCCCCCAUUUUUUAUCCUAAAGUUUUUAGAUCAACACAAGAAUUCCAUGUUGGUGUCACCAAUAAUCCAAUACACAGUAACCCCACAAUAAUUCCCAAUAACAAUAUCAAUCAAAUGAUACACAAUCAAUAGGAACAUUUGAGGCUAGAACAUGAUUCAAUCCUAAAUAUUAUUCACUUUUAGAUGUUUAUCUAAGAACCAUUGCAAUACCAUAUUGAAAUAAAUCUCAAGAAUUAAGGAAAAGCUUUAGUAUGACCUUAAUAACCUCAAUGGAAUAAAAUGUUGUCUAACCUAAAAAAACAAUACCAGAACCAUAUUUUUAAUUUUUAUUGUCAAUUCAAUAUUUAUUUGAUUUCAAUAUGGUUCAAUUAGUUCUUUUCUUGGGAGUUAUUUUUAAUUAGUAUUCAACAUUGGCAACACAUUCAUAACUCAUAAUCAUGGUUUUACAAUGAUGUUUGUAACAAUUCAAAAAGCUAAUAAAAUCUAGGUAGAAAAAUAAUUACUUUCAAACCCAAGGAGAAUUCCAUUUCAAAUGACACAAGCACAACCUCAACAAGAAAUGUAUCUCAACAUAUCAUAAGCCAUGAGAAGCCUUAAAUGGGCUUUACCUACUACUAUCAAUAGGAAGAUGAAUAAACAUUUACAACACAAUUUAUUAACUAUAUUUGCAAAAAUAUGAAACAUCUAAUGCCAAAAAUUUAUUUAUUAAUUAAUUAGCACAAUUUUAUUGCAUGCUUUACCUUAAUUUGAUUUAAAAAUAAAUAGUGGAAAAUGAAAUAAAGUUGGAAAACAACAUUUUGGAGACAAAGAAUUAACCUUCAACGAGUUUUUACCAAACAAUGGAUGAAAUUGUUUGUGUCAUCCUACCCUCAUUUGCACAUAUUUGGGACCCUCCACCUGUAUAACAAGAAACCUUAAAUCUAAAAUUUUUCUAAAAUAAAUAUAGAACUAAUUACAAAAAGAUGAGGAAAAAUUCAAAAAGAUGAUUUUCAAGCUUACCUUGUUGACAGUUGAAAAUGGUGAAAAGUUUUGUGGUUCUCCAACAACUUCUGUGCGAAAUGGAGUUAGAAUAUGAAAGCGUAGAAAAUGGAUUAGGAUUUUUAGAAAAUGGGAGAAAGGAACCACUUUACAAAUAAAGUUAUUAGAGAAAAAAAGGUGAUAAAAAGCAAAAGUGAAGAGAAAAUCAAUGGUCUACAGUAACAAGAUCCAGAGAAUGAUAAGUAAGAUGAGCAGAUAACUUGAUUGAAUAAGGAAAAAAAGAUGAUAACUUGACAACUCCUCCUCAACAACCCAUAAUCAUAGAAAUCAGGUGAAUCAAGUGAGGAAUAUUAGGGUGAAGAAAAGGGAAUAAGGUUUCAGAAAAUGAGAAAAA